AGCUCCAAUAGCGUAUAUUAAAGUUGUUGCAGUUAGAACGCUCGUAGUCGGAUUUCGGGGCGGGGCGACCGGUCUGCCGAUGGGUACGCACUGGUCGGCGCGUCCUUCCUUCCGGAGACCGUGCCUACUCUUAACUGAGCGGGGGCGGGAGACGGAACGUUUACUUUGAAAAAAUCAGAGUGUUUCAAGCAGGCAGCUCGCUCUUGCAUGGAUUAGCAUGGGAUAAUGAAAUAGGACUUUGGUGCUAUUUUGUUGGUUUCGAACACCGAAGUAAUGAUGAGAAGGGACAGUCAGGGGCAUUUGUAUUCGACCGAGAGAGGUGAAAUUCUCAGACCAGUCGAAGACAAACUACUGCGAAAGCAUCUGCCAGGGAUGUUUUCACUG
rnacentral:rRNA from 1 species